GCCCUUAGUUUGAUCCUGGCUCAGAACGAACGCUGGCGGCAGGCCUAACACAUGCAAGUCGAGCGCACCCUUCGGGGCGAGCGGCGGACGGGUUAGUAACGCGUGGGAACAUACCCUUCACUAUGGAAUAGCCUCGGGAAACUGAGAGUAAUACCAUAUACGCCUUUCGGGGGAAAGAUUUAUCGGUGAAGGAUUGGCCCGCGUAAGAUUAGAUAGUUGGUGGGGUAAUGGCCUACCAAGUCUACGAUCUUUAGCUGGUUUUAGAGGAUGAUCAGCAACACUGGGACUGAGACACGGCCCAGACUCCUACGGGAGGCAGCAGUGGGGAAUCUUAGACAAUGGGCGCAAGCCUGAUCUAGCCAUGCCGCGUGUGUGAUGAAGGCCUUAGGGUCGUAAAGCACUUUCGCUAGGGAUGAUAAUGACAGUACCUAGUAAAGAAACCCCGGCUAACUCCGUGCCAGCAGCCGCGGUAAUAAGGGCG
rnacentral:rRNA from 1 species